AUUGAACGCUGGCGGCAUGCUUUACACAUGCAAGUCGAACGGCAGCGCGGGCUUCGGCCUGGCGGCGAGUGGCGAACGGGUGAGUAAUGCAUCGGAACGUGCCCAGUAGUGGGGGAUAGCCCGGCGAAAGCCGGAUGAAUACCGCAUACGACCUGAGGGUGAAAGCGGGGGACCGAAAGGCCUCGCGCUAUUGGAGCGGCCGAUGUUGGAUUAGCUAGUUGGUGGGGUAAAGGCUUACCAAGGCGACGAUCCGUAGCUGGUCUGAGAGGACGACCAGCCACACUGGAACUGAGACACGGCCCAGACUCCUACGGGAGGCAGCAGUGGGGAAUUUUGGACAAUGGGGGCAACCCUGAUCCAGCCAUGCCGCGUGCGGGAAGAAGGCCUUCGGGUUGUAAACCGCUUUUGUUCGGGAAGAAAUCCUCUGGGCUAAUACCCCGGGGGGAUGACGGUACCGGAAGAAUAAGCACCGGCUAACUACGUG
rnacentral:rRNA from 1 species